GCAAUCCUUAAAAUAAAAUUGAGAUGUUUGUUACUGAAGUAUGAGCAAGAUUUGUUCUACAACGUGUACCGCCUAUAUAAGGAUAGGUAGAAAACCAAGCGCAGGCAUGCAACUGGUGCGGAGGCGUGGGCCAUUGGUCAAGUGGGUGCAGGAAUCUCAGAAAUUUUCUCUGUAGGAUGUGCAGCGCAAUAGGGUUGCAGGAUUAUCAGGAGACGAUCAGCAGUUGGCUGCGGUCAUCAAGGUCGGAAGAGCAGAAAUUAAGGCCAUGAUAGACGGAUAUCGAAAAAGCUAGCGGAGAACCCGGGAGUCGCCGGUGAGCGAGUAUCAACAAGGAGACUGGUAAAGUUGGCCAAUGGGAGCCACACAGAAGCUUGAAUGCUACUCCAGACGACGGUAAGCUUUGGCAACAAGGAAAACAAUUGAACAUGUUAGUGUUGCCAGACAUGGGAGACAGCGCGGUGGAAUUUCCUCGCAGGAUUUGGCAUAACAAUAACAUGCGCAGGCCACCAAGUCACGAUCUCCAGAAGAGAGAGAUGGAGCGGAUGCCUGGAAGAUAGGCUGUCGAUAGCUAUAACUGGAUCCUCGGAGAAAUGGAAGAGCGAGCGGGACAAAAAGUAUAUUGAGGAGCUAGUGGCGUUCAUGAAGGACGACAUCCCCAUAAAACAAAGAUAAUAUCCGAAGAACCCCAAAAUACAGGGGGAUCAAUGCAAAGGUAGGAAAGCUGCUGGAUGGAAGGGAUGCAUCGAGCCUUUGAAUAGCGCUUAUAGCUCACCCAUCGUUAUGAUAAAGAAAAAGACGGGUGUAGCAUGAUUAGAUAAAAAUAGAUAUAUUAAUAACGAAAACAAACUGACGUCUAGUAUAAGUUAACAUAGGGCGGAGAGA